CCUACGGGUGGCAGCAGUGAGGAAUAUUGGUCAAUGGACUAGAGUCUGAACCAGCCAAGUAGCGUGAAGGAUGACUGCCCUAUGGGUUGUAAACUUCUUUUAUAUGGGAAUAAAAUGUUCCACGUGUGGGAUUUUGUAUGUACCAUAUGAAUAAGGAUCGGCUAACUCCGUGCCAGCAGCCGCGGUAAUACGGAGGAGCCGAGCGUUAUCCGGCUUUCUUGGGUUUAACGGGAGCGUAGGUGGAUUGUUAAGUCAAUUGGGAAAGUUUGCGGCUGAACCGUAAAAUUGCAGUUGAAACUGGCAGUCUUGAGUACAGUAGAGGUAGGCGGAAUUCGUGGUGUAGCGGUGAAAUGCUUAGAUAUCACGAAGAACUCCGAUUGCGAAGGCAGUUCACUGGACUGCAACUGACACUGAGGCUCGAAAGUGUGGGUAUCAAACAGGAUUAGAGACCCCAGUAGUC
rnacentral:rRNA from 1 species